rnacentral:tRNA from 1 species
GGUCUUAUAGUUUAUUAAAAAAUUUUAAAUUGCAAGUUUAAGGAUAUGUUAUUUAAGACUU